AUUUUUAUUCAGUGACUGGUGUGCAGUGUUAUCAACGUACAGCUUUUUCAACGUACAAUAAAGCCACACUAGAGCGCUGCUUACAGUGCUCCGUGGCUGCAACACAGCAAGCGCCUGGUCACUACGGAAACCAAAACGUGCUCAAGUUAAAUUUGAAACCAAUGAUCGGAUUGGAAACCAAAUC